ensembl:lncRNA novel transcript
AGACCCGGGGAGGAGGUAGGGGUAGAGGCGACCGGCGGUGACCUCUCAAGGUCCCUCUCCGGCGCCGCCGGCCCCUCCUCCGCCCGCAGGUGGGCGCGCCCUGCCCGGUGACGUCACCCCAACCUGAGGCCGGCGGGGGAGGGGCCGGCGAGGAUGAGACGCCAAGCGCUUGACCUGUGUAGUGGCGGAGACUGUUACCACCCUGUACUUCAGAUAAUAAGCAACCCAGGUCCCUGCUACACGAGCCGGGUGCACAGAUGGUGCUGCGUGGCCCAGCCCCCCUGGAGCUCAUUCUUCAGCCUUGCUGGGCACAGGACCCCAGCAGGAAAUGCAGCUGAGCACAGAGGGAUGGAACAAGCCCUGUCUACUGCUUUAUUAAGCCCCAGCAGAAAAUAUACUGAAGCCAGGUUCUCAGUCACUUCAGCGUUUCAUUUGGGCUUCAAACUCUGAUGAAGUGAGCCCCACGAAUCCCCUGUGGACAGGCAUGACACAACGCUGGCAGGCAUGUGCCAGGCAGGGAGAGGGUAGGAUGGCUGGUGGACCCUCAGAAAGACCCGACCUGAGCUUUCCCUGUAGGGACUGAGCAGAGUGGAGAAUUGAGCCCCCUAAAGUGAGCAGCACAGAGCCAUGGGGGGCAGGGGCAUCCCUGGCUGCAUAGUGGGAAGGCAAUGGCCUGGCCGCCAGGGACAGGCACAGGGAUGCCCAGCCAGGCCCGCUGUCUUCCCGUGUGAGGAGUGAGGCGCCAGGGUAUGCGGUGGGCAGGAAGCUACAUCCUGAAUGUCAAGGGGCAGCCCAGGCUGCUCCUCCUUCCCUCCCCUGCAGUUCAGCUGCAGCUCCUUGGGGUCUCCACUGAGGAGGGGGCCAGUGGGUACCUGCUGUGGGCACCUCCACUUCUGCUCCAAACCUAAGAGGGGCAGGGCAGGUCCCCACAGGCAG